UACAAAUGCAUAUUUAACAACAAACAUCACAAUCUUUCAAUUAUUCUUCAAUUAUUUUUCUAAUUCCGACGAUUUAGAAACGGUCUGCAAGGCGGUUGAAAUAGCUAAAAAUUUACAAAACACAACAGCAUUUCAACGCUUGGGAAUCGAGCCGAUCAUUUUAGAUCUUCCAGACUGUGAUGCGGAUUAUGAGAAACUUUCAAAGGACUGGUGGAUCUGCAGCAUUCAAUACCUUUCAAUUAUCGGUUUUCAUCCAGUAGGAGCUACUAGAAUGGGAAAYGAUACG